AAUACCAAACAUGGGAAGACAGAGCACACAAUUCUCUGCCCUCAACUGCAUCGACAUAUCCAACCCCGACAUCAACCAAUCCGUUCGUUUACUCAAACAGGCGUGUUUGGAUUCGGGUUUUUUCUACGUUGUCAACCAUGGCAUAAGCCAGGAAUUCAUGGACGAGGUUUUUUCACAGAGCAAGAAGUUUUUCUCUCUUCCCCUUGAGGAAAAGAUGAAGAUUCUCAGGAAUGAAAAACACAGGGGAUAUACCCCUGUUCUUGAUGAACUUCUUGAUCCUGAAAAUCAACUUCAUGGAGACUAUAAAGAAGGGUAUUAUAUUGGAGUUGAAAAAGGUGAAGAUGACCCAGAAUCGAAGAAGCCUUUCUAUGGUCAGAAUAGAUGGCCUGCACCAGAUGUUUUGCCGGGGUGGAGAGAGACCAUGGAAAAGUUCCAUCGAGAGACAUUAGAAGUGGGGAAAGCUGUUGCAAAGAUAAUAGCCCUUGCACUUGAUUUGGAUGAAAAAUUUUUUGACCAGCCAAAAAUAUUCGGAGAGCCAAUUGCAAUUCUGCGUUUGCUGCGCUAUGAAGGUCAAAUCUCAGACCCCUCGAAAGGAUUAUAUGGAGCUGGUGCUCAUACUGACUUUGGUUUAAUUACACUGUUGGCAACAGAUGAUGUUUCAGGCCUUCAAAUAUGCAAAAAUAGGGAUGCUAAACCUCAGAUAUGGGAGGAUGUAGCACCAUUGAAGGGAGCCUUCAUUGUGAAUCUUGGUGACAUGCUGGAGCGCUGGAGCAACUGUGUUUUCAAGUCCACACUGCACAGAGUUCUAGGAAAUGGUCAAGAAAGAUAUUCUAUUGCAUACUUCUUGGAGCCAAGUCAUGACUGUCUAGUAGAGUGCUUGCCAACCUGCAAAUCUGAUAGUAAUCCUCCUAAGUAAGUUAAACAUGCCAUCUAAAAAUUAGCAGCAUAGUGUAUGUUAGAAAGUUAAUCUCACAUUCAGAUUCCAUCCUUCCAUUCUGAGGCAUGUUUGUUUGGUCGAUAGAGUACUAAAACAGGCUUAACAUCUUUGCAUUUUUCUCUUUUACCAGAUUUCCUCCCAUCUUAUUCCAGGACUACCUGACUCAACGCUACAAGGACACUCAUGCUGAUCUGAAAUUUACAAGAAACAGCAAGCUUGAAUAGUCAACCUUUGGAACUGAACAGCCUAGUGUUUUUUCACAAAAACACUCACUUACACUGAUUUGGAUAUUUACC